AUAUCCGAUGUAUUCUAGGAGAAGGAAAGUAAAGGGGACCAUAAUUGAUAUAUUGCCACAUCAGCAACAGUGAUGACUGAGUUGGAUAUGUAAUGAUGAGUUUGUUAUAGAUUUGAUAAGUUUGUUACAGAUAUGAUAUGUUUUUGCCUAUAAAAAAAAGAAGGGAUGUUCAUGGGGAGGUAUCUUGGAAUAUUUUGAAAUUCACUAUAGCAGAUUGUCUUCUACUCGGGCUUGGCAUGAGGAUUGAUUUCUAGUUUAUUCUUUCCUAGUUCUUUAUGUUGAGGAAGAUCAGUUCCUUGAUUCUCAAACAAAUUGGUCCAACCUGCCAGAUGACAAAAACACGAAUGGAGUCCAGAGUGGAUAUCGUCAAAGAGGAACUACUCUUCCCUAGAAGAAACAAUGGUAGCCAUUAAAUUGGAAUAAGAACAACGAUUUAAAUGCCUAGAACCUCAAUGCCAUUGCUAAGGGCAAGGAACCAGCAAAUCCUAAAAAUUCUAACCAGGGGCAAUCUAGUAAAUCUUCAUCCCGACAUUAGGGCAAUUUCAAUGAAGCCCCCUCCACGGAAGAGGCACGGUUAGCUACCAAAAAAACUUGACAUGCCCUCCUUCACUGGUUCUGAUCCUAUCAGUUGGGUGGCAAGGGCAGAAUAGUAUUUCAAGCUUCACAACAUCUCGCCAGCGAAGCAGGUCUCAAUGGCCCUCAUUUGCAUGGAGGGUGUGUCGUUGGAUUGGUUAAUGUGGUUACGACAUAAAGUUUCGAAUUUGGGAUGGGUAUAGUUGACGUCGGAACUAAUUCGGCGAUAUAAUGGCAACCUUUCUGACAACCCAUAUGAACAACUGGCAGCCGUAAAACAACUUGGAACAGUGUCAGCCUUACAUCGACGAUUUUAUUUCUCGGGCCGCACAAGCUCCGGAUAUACCCGACCCAUAAUAUUUAGGGUAUUUCUUGAAUAGACUAAGAGGAGAAAUUAGAGUCUGGCUUUGGGUGGCAAAUAUCGCUGAUUUAUACCACGCAAUGAAGGCUGCUGGCGAAAUAGAAUGGGAGCUGACCCAUUCUGUUCCUAUGAUUAUUGAGGCUCGCCAUAACUCAAGUGUGUAAUCUUACCCAUAUUCUGCUUCUACCCAUACUUCUUCGAUUCCUUCCUCUACUCCACAAUUUGGGCUUGGCCCAAAACUCCUCAACUCUUUCCCUAUUAAAGCCCAAAAUUUAACCCAAUCUCAUCAUAAAUCCAACUCUCACCUAAAUCUGCAACAGACUGCUGCCCUCCUAAACAACCCUAACCAACAAACUAAACUUCUUCCCUUAACAGCAUCGACAGCCAGAAAUUCUAACCCACAACCUAAAAAUCUAGGGGUCUGACACUACUCUCAUAACGAAUACUAGGAGCUUCGAGCUGAAAGGUUGUGUUUCCGAUGCAAACGACCCUAUAGUCCUCUCCAUGAAUGCCCAAAUAAAUCCCUGCCGGCGCUAAUUGCUGGAGAAGACAAAGGAGAAGGUGUUGAGAACGAUGAUGAAAAUUUAGUAAGUUGAAUAUUGAGCUAGAGCUGCCCCUUUAUUUUGUUGGUGGCAUUUCACAUCCAAGAACCAUGCAAAUGAUGGGACUCAUCUUCAAUACCCAAGUAGUUGUUAUGGUAGAUACUGGGCCAAGCCAUAACUUUAUCUCGGAUCACUUGGCCUCUCUACUGGAAUCAUCUGUGAGCCCUACCCAGCCAUUCUAUGUCAAGUUAGAAGAUGAACAUCGCCUUCAGUCUGCAGGAGUAUGUUAGCAACUCAAGUUGAAAUUGAAAACUCUGGAAAUUGUUGGGGACUUCUUUGUUUUUCCUUUAAGUGGGGUGGAAGUAAUUUUGGGGGUUGCAUGGUUGGAAACCUUGGGAGAUGUCCAGGUUAAUUGACAUAAACUCACCAUGCAAUUUUAUCAAAACAGAGAACUUAUAUUGCUUGUUGGUGAUCCUUCACUUAUUAAAUGCCUUGUUUUUUAAUUAAGUUCAAAAGGUUUCAGA